rnacentral:rRNA from 1 species
GGCUCAUCUUGUACUCCAGAGUGUGAUGAUGCCAUCAGACCAGCCAUUGGGAUGACUUUUGCUGAUUUGAACGCAGCCAAGGAGUUCUAUGAAGCUUAUGCACAUGAUAUUGGUUUUUUAGUACGUGUGGGGCAGCAAAAGAUUGUCAAUGGUGUCAUUACUCACAAGCGUUUCUACUGUGACCGUGAAGGUUUCCGUGAAGAGAGGAAAGGUAAGGAAACUUUGGUAGCUAGCACUGGUAGUAAGAGGAGAUAUGAGAAGAAAAUCACUAGAUGUGGGUGCGAAGCUAAACUUGCGGUCAAACGCACGGUCGAGAAUAAGUACAUUGUGACACUUUUCGAACAGGAGCACACACACACACUUGUAUCGCCCAGUAAAAAACAAUUCAUCAGAUCAAACAGGAAAGUGAGCCAACAAGCAAAAACUACAUUAUGGAACUGUCAUAAAGCUAGCAUUGGCACAUCCCUAGCAUACAGGUUCCUUCGUGNNNNNNNNNNNNNNNNNNNNNAUGUUGGUUGUACAAAGAGAGACUUGCAAAAUCACCACCGAAACCUUAGGUGCCUCAUCAAGUCAUCCGAUGCUCAAACGUUUGUUGACCAGCUUGCUAGAAAACAUCUUGCAAAUUCAGGAUUUUAUUUUGACUAUGUUCUUGAUGAUAAGGGCAGACUGGUACAUGUGUUCUGGGCGGAUGCCACAUGUAGAAAAAAUUAUGCUCUGUUUGGAGAGCUUGUGUCAUUUGACUCCACGUAUAGCACCAAUCAAUAUAACAUGAUAUUCACCCCCUUUACUGGAAUCAAUCACCAUAAGGCAAGUGUUUGUUUUGGUGCUGCAAUGUUACACGAUGAGAAGGCAGAUUCUUACAAGUGGUUGUUUCGCACAUUCUUGAAAGCUAUGGGAGGGGCUGCACCUAGGUUUAUAAUAACUGACGAAUGUAGUAGCAUGGACAAUGCAAUAAGGGAAGUUUUCCCAGCAGCCGCACAUAGGCUAUGCAUGUGGCAUAUUAUGAAUAAGAUCCCGCAAAAGGUUGGCCCUGAUUUGAAGACCGAUGAGGAUCUCCAUGAACGAUUAGGUCGGUGCGUGUGGUCUUCUGAAACUCCUACUGAAUUUGAGGAACGAUGGAAAGAAAUUAUGUCAGAGUAUGGGUUGGAAGAUGAUGAAUGGUUCAGUAAAAGGUUCAGCCUUCGAGAAUCAUGGAUACCAGCUUAUUUCAAAGAAAUAGCUUUGUCAGGGCUUAUGCGGACCACUUCAUGGUCAGAGAGUGCCAAUUCUUUUUUCUCACGUAUUAUUGGUUACAAACAUGCUUUGGUUGAGUUUUGGCUUAGAUUUGACACGGCUUUGGAAGAACAACGUCAUAAGGAGUUGCAAGAGGACCAUGUGAGCCUACAUACGAUGCCUGUGUUGAAGACAUCAUGGGCGAUUGAAAAGCAUGGCAGCGAGGUGUUCACGCAUGAGAUAUUUCAGGAUUUUCAACAUGAGUUGCUUGCUGAUAGGGAUCGUGGCCUUGUUGAGAUGAUGGCACAUGAUGGUGAGGUUAAAACGGUAACUAUACAUGAUGGCUAUAAGAAACUAAGGGUGGUAACUUACAACACAUAAACCAUGGUAGGUUCUUGCACAUGUACGUUGUUUGAGACACAUGGUAUCCCAUGUCGUCAUCUGAUCAAUGUCCUAAGAACUGCCCAGCUAAAUGAAUUGCCAAAGCAUUAUGUACUCAAAAGGUUUAGAAAGGACUGCAAAACCGAGCCAGUUCUAUUGGAAGGCAAUGAGAGCAGUUCAAUCGAUCCGGAGAUACAAAAAUUAGCUUCAGAAACAUGUAAGAAGAUGGAAGACCUUUUAGUACAAGCGAAGCAAUCUCAGGCCGGCAUGCAAUUCUUGAGAGAUCACAUUUUUGCACUUGGAGAGAAAUUGUCUACCCAAGUUCCAGCGAAAAAACAAACUCAAACAGAAGAAUUUGAGGAAUUUUUAGGUUGUUCCAUUCCAAGUGAGGUUCAUAUCCAUCCUCCAAAUGAUAUUUGA